UGAAUAUAUCCUGGAGACCAUCGACUCGCUGCAGAAAACUCCUGGGUUGCUGACAUCCAGGACUGCAUGGACCCUGGGGACAGUGGAGAUGACAUUGAGCUGGCGUCAUGUCCCCACGGCCAGAGCGUCUAAAGAGUUUCUCCAUGGUGUCCUCCUGCAGCUGUGAGCUUCUGUCAGAGGGUGUUCAUCGUACCCCUGAGAGAUCCUGUGGAUCAGCAACAACAGAACUGUAUAGCGCCCCCUCUGGCCGCUGCAGAGAAC